rnacentral:rRNA from 1 species
AUUGAACGCUGGCGGCAGGCCUAACACAUGCAAGUCGAACGAGUGGCGGACGGGUGAGUAAUGUCUGGGAAACUGCCCGAUGGAGGGGGAUAACUACUGGAAACGGUAGCUAAUACCGCAUACCAUCGGAUGUGCCCAGAGGGGGUUAGCUUGUAGGGUAGGUAACGGCUCACCUAGGCGACGAUCCCUAGCUGGUCUGAGAGGAUGACGAGCCACACUGGAACUGAGACACGGUCCAGAAUCGUACGGGAGGCAGCAGUGGGGAAUAUUGAACAAGGGGCGGAAGCAUGAUGCAGCCAUGCCGCGUGUAUGAAGAAGGCCUUUGGUUUGUAAAGUACUUUCAGCGGGGAGGCUUUACCCGCAGAAGAAGCACCGUAUAACUCCGUGCCAGCAGCCGCGGUAAUGC